GUACAAGUCUUUGGAAUUUAGCAGCUGCCAAAACCAGAAGUUGAACUGUGUUAACAAUGUCUUCUCUUGAGUCAAGGGAGUAGGAGUAAGAAGAACUCUCACUAAGCAUCUUUCAUUCCUACAACGACAUCAAUCUACUACAUAUUUAUCUGGUCUUGAAAAAUUCGCAUUUACACAUUCUUAUAUGUGUACUAGCCAGCUACAGGGCUAGCAACAGUUCUGAAGCGGCAGAUACAUUUCUUUGUAAAUAAUUAAAUCAAAAAUCAAUUUUAAGAAAUAAUCAUCAAAAUUUUUGCCGUAGGAUCUCGGUCAUGAGAUUUUGGACAAUUGAGUCUGUUAUAUGCAAUUAUAGUUUAGUCAUAAUAAAUUCACUAUGAAUUCGGAACAAUGUUUCCGUGAUUUAAAUACACGGAGUAUUUCAACCAGUAAAAAUACCAGUCAUUAUUCGUCACUAGUAUGCAACAGGGUGAAAACAUGCUUCUCGGAGGAAAUAUCUCGAAGAGCGAAAACGUUUCGUUCCAUUCGAAUAUCUCGCAAUUCAUUUCUUUUGAAUCUGCUGGUUUUCUUCUGUCUAUUAAAAUACACUUCAGGAACUGAAUGUUCUUUUAUGGAUGGGAAAUGUACUUAUAACAUACGCCUGGCUCCACCACAAUCGAUAACAGAUGGGUCUAGUGGAGGUGGAGAUCAAUGUAAACGCUACCCACCGGCAAAUUUCAGGCAAUUCAGCGGCACAGAAGAAAGUCAGAACGAUUACGCAGAAAAAAUGACACACAUUGUGAAGGAUUUCGAUGUCAUUAAAGACGAUCAUGAAAGUCGUAUCAGAGAGCUAGAAAACUAUAUAAGGAAGUCUCUGUCUAGAGGCGGAGAACCUGAUGUGUUGAAAGUGGCGACGAAUAUAAAAUCGAAGAUAAAACAAGGCUCUUCUGAAUCAGGUGGUUACGGUGAAAAUGGUAUCCCAUUUGAUACUACUGAAGGCAAUUUAAUUAAAAGACUUCACGAUCAGUUUGCAGCGAUACGGAAACUCAAUCGAGACAAAUCGCAGUCAUUGCGUGUGAUGAACUACAAGUUGAACGAGACACGCCAAAAAUUAGCUGAUACACAAAAUAACCUCCUGUUGACCAGAGAUCAACUAUUGCAAAACGAAGAAGCUCUAAGUAGGUUGCAAGAUGAUAAGUAUAUUUUACAAAACCAACUGAAAGACAGGAGCGAAAGACUAGAUCGAGCGGAAAAACGAGCAGAUGCAUUAGAAAAAAAGAAUAAAGAGACAGAUGAGAAACUGUUGACACUUAUUCGAUCAGAGAAUAUUCUGAAAGAAGAAAUGUAUACAGCUCAAUAUAAACUGAACGAAACUUCACAGUUAUUAGCUGAUGCUCGAAAUCAGUAUCGCCAGUUAGAUGUGGAUUUUGUACGCCUCAUUUCCGAAAUCAGCAGGAGGGAGAAAGAACUGAAGUUGUGUUAUAAAGCAAAAACUCAGACGUUCUGUGGAUUUGAGGAUGAGUCUAUAUGUGGCUUUGAGCAAGAUAAUGGUACAGAUUUCUUUGAUUGGUCGCGGAGUAAAGGUGCAACUCCAUCUACAGGAACAGGCCCUGAAAAUGAUCAUACAUGCGAAUCUCCAAACGGGCAUUUCAUGUUCAUCGAAGCCUCAGCUAAAGGACGUGGACACAGAGCCAUUCUCAAAUCACCAAUUUACAGAGCCUUCAACGAACAAUGCGUUCAAUUCUUUUAUCAUAUGUAUGGCAAUCAUAUUGGUACUCUUAACGUUUUCACACAGACUAAAAUGGAAACAGAUCCUCGGGCCGUAUGGAGAGCUUAUGGUAACCAAGGUAACGUUUGGAUAAAAGCGCGUCUAUCAAUUCCGAUAAACCUUGCCAAGACCGGAUAUCAAAUUGUCUUUGAGGGUUCAACAGAAACUGGUUACCAAGGAGAUAUAGCCAUUGAUGAUAUAAACAUACACGAUGGACCGUGUCCUAUCGAUGCCCAGAUAAAACCAGUAGCAGUUCCCGAUAUUGAUAUUGUUUCCCUAGCAAACAAUCAAACUGCUCUAAAAUCUAUUAAGAAGAGAAGACGGAAGCUCUUGCGUCAUUUCCGGCGGAGAAACGGCACGCGCCACGGUGAAUAAUAGUUAAUAGACACACAGAGAUAGUCUGCCAAUAAAAGUAUCUUGACGAAUAUAUAUAUAUACAUAUAUAUAUUCAUGAAUAUAUAUAUAUAUACAUACAUAUA
rnacentral:misc_RNA from 1 species